AUGUCUGCCCGAGCCAAGCUUUUCCACCCUACUCCCAAGAACCAUGUGUUUCAUCGUGCCAUCCUCUCGUCGCUCGUCCUGAUGCUGUCAUGCACGCCGGCGAGCAGCGAGCAAACCCCGCACAAACCACUGGUCACCAAGCUCGCCAAGGACCCCAUCACCUUUCUCUACACCAUCACCGUCAAGGCCGACAAGUCGCCGCUCCUCCUCGACCUCGCCGGCUCGCUCGUCUGGUUGACGUGCCCGCCGCCGUCGUCAUCACACAGCAAUGUGGCAAGCCAGUCCGGUCCGUGCGGGGGCGCGGCCAGCCAGCAGUGGCCACGCCGCUGCCCGCACGUGGAGCCGGGGUCGGGAUGCGCCUGCGCGGGCAAUCCGGCCACCCGCGAGUGCUCCACCGGCGGCCUCACGAGCUUCGCGAUGUCGGCUAACACCACCGACGGCGCCAUGGAGCUUCCCCCGGAAGAGUCGUUCGCCGUCGUCGGCGCGUGCGUGCCGGGCAGCCUGCUGAGGUCGCUCCCCGCGGGCGCCACCGGCGUCGCGGGGUUCUCCCGGCGCCCGCUCUCGCUGCCAUCGCAGCUCGCCGCCCAGCGCGGCUUCGGAGGUAAGUUCGCCCUGUGCCUCCCCGACUUCGCGACCUUGGGCUACGACUACGUGCCUCUGGACCCGUACUUCACCCCGCUCCUCACGAACCCGGCGAAUGCUGCCGGCUACUACAUCCCUGUCAAGGGCAUCUCCGUGUCGUGGCAUGAGGCCGACGCUCCAGCGGCCCUGAUCCGCGGCGCGCUCGACCUCGACGCGGCGUCGUGCUGA
rnacentral:rRNA from 1 species